CAGACUCCCGCUGCUUCCUGGUCAUGCCUGAAUGUAUGCAGGCUGCCUUCAGGCACGGGGGCAGGCCAGAUACCUGCAGGCUCUCUAGGGAGAACGAGCCCAGACUGUGGAGCCUAGGACUAAGGAUUCAGAGCCACCCAGAGCCUUGGCUCAGAAGCGCCAGGAGCAGACAGGCCCUACUGGGGAUGUCCCCCCUCCCCAGUGCCGCUCCUCCUAGGAGUUGACCCACGUCUGGCCACCUGCCACGUCCCUGCUGUCCUUGGGCCACUAUGAGGCCUGGGGUUGUGGACAUAGCCAACGAGGGAGCUGACAGCUGGCAGUGCCUGUCCUCUGGACUGCUUUCUUCAAGGUGAGCUGG